rnacentral:rRNA from 1 species
UACAGAGGGUGCAAGCGUUAAUCGGAAUUACUGGGCGUAAAGCGCGCGUAGGUGGUUCGUUAAGUUGGAUGUGAAAUCCCCGGGCUCAACCUGGGAACUGCAUUCAAAACUGUCGAGCUAGAGUAUGGUAGAGGGUGGUGGAAUUUCCUGGUGUAGCGGUGAAAUGCGUAGAUAUAGGAAGGAACACCAGUGGCGAAGGCGAGUCCCUGGACAACUUCUGACGUGAGGCACGAAAGCGUAGGGGAGCAAACAGG